rnacentral:ncRNA from 1 species
AUAAAGUUUUAUUUUGGCUUAAAAAUUUAUUAUUAAUUUAUAUUAUAUGUAAAUUUUUGUGUGAAUUUAUAUUUAUUUUAAAAAUAAAUAUAUUUUAAUUUAUUUGCAAUAAUUAAUAUUAUUAAUUAAAGAAAUUUAGAAAUAGAAAUAUUAAUUUAAUAUUGACUUAAUUUGUGCCAGCAGUUGCGGUUAUACAAAUAAUAUAAAUAAAUUUUAUUAAUUUAAGUUAAAUUAUUUAUUUUUAAAAUAUAAAAUAAAUUAUUAGGUGAAAUUUUAAUUUAUUAUUAUUAUUUAUUUAUAAAAUUAAUUGAAGCUAAAAAAUUUUAGAUAAAAACUAGGAUUAGAUACCCUAUUAUUUAAAAUAUAAAUUAAAUUAUUUGAGUAGUAGUAGAUAUGUUCUUGAAACUUAAAAAAUUUGGCGGUAUUUUAGUCUAUUCAGAGGAACUUGUUUUUUAAUCGAUAAUCCACGAUGUACCUUACUUAAAUUUGUUGAUCAAUUUAUAUACCGUUGUUAUUAGAAUAUUUUAUAAGAAUAAUAAUUUUCUAUAAUUUUAAUAAAAAUUAAUAUCAAAUCAAGGUGUAGUUUAUAUUUAAGUUUAAAUGAGUUACAAUAAAAUAUAUUUUUGAAUUUAAAUAUGAAAAAUUUAAUGAAAUUGGAUUUGAUAGUAAAUUUAUAAAGACAAAUAAAUUGAUUUUAGCUCUAAAAUAUGUACAUAUCGCCCGUCGCUCUUGUUAUUAAAAUAAGAUAAGUCGUAACAUAGUAGAUGUACUGGAAAGUGUAUCUAGAAU